UAGGGAAUCUUCCGCAAUGGACGCAAGUCUGACGGAGCAACGCCGCGUGAGUGAAGAAGGAUUUCGGUUCGUAAAACUCUGUUGUUAGAGAAGAACAGCGCAUAGAGUAACUGUUAUGCGUGUGACGGUAUCUAACCAGAAAGCCACGGCUAACUACGUGCCAGCAGCCGCGGUAAUACGUAGGUGGCAAGCGUUGUCCGGAUUUAUUGGGCGUAAAGCGAGCGCAGGCGGUCAAUUAAGUCUGAUGUGAAAGCCCCCGGCUCAACCGGGGAGGGUCAUUGGAAACUGGUUGACUUGAGUGCAGAAGAGGAGGGUGGAGUUCCAUGUGUAGCGGUGAAGUGCGUAGAUAUAUGGAGGAACACCAGUGGCGAAGGCGACUCUCUGGUCUGUAACUGACGCUGAGGCUCGAAAGCGUGGGUAGCAAACAGG
rnacentral:rRNA from 1 species